rnacentral:rRNA from 1 species
GGGUUGUGAGGUUAAGCGACUAAGCGUACACGGUGGAUGCCCUGGCAGUCAGAGGCGAUGAAGGACGUGCUAAUCUGCGAUAAGCGUCGGUAAGGUGAUAUGAACCGUUAUAACCGGCGAUUUCCGAAUGGGGAAACCCAGUGUGUUUCGACACACUAUCAUUAACUGAAUCCAUAGGUUAAUGAGGCGAACCGGGGGAACUGAAACAUCUAAGUACUCCGAGGAAAAGAAAUCAACCGAGAUUCCCCCAGUAGCGGCGAGCGAACGGGGAGCAGCCCAGAGCCUGAAUCAGUAUGUGUGUUAGUGGAAGCGUCUGGAAAGGCGCGCGAUACAGGGUGACAGCCCCGUACACAAAAAUGCACAUGCUGUGAGCUCGAUGAGUAGGGCGGGACACGUGGUAUCCUGUCUGAAUAUGGGGGGACCAUCCUCCAAGGCUAAAUACUCCUGACUGACCGAUAGUGAACCAGUACCGUGAGGGAAAGGCGAAAAGAACCCCGGCGAGGGGAGUGAAAAAGAACCUGAAACCGUGUACGUACAAGCAGUGGGAGCACGCUUAGGCGUGUGACUGCGUACCUUUUGUAUAAUGGGUCAGCGACUUAUAUUCUGUAGCAAGGUUAACCGAAUAGGGGAGCCGAAGGGAAACCGAGUCUUAACUGGGCGUUAAGUUGCAGGGUAUAGACCCGAAACCCGGUGAUCUAGCCAUGGGCAGGUUGAAGGUUGGGUAACACUAACUGGAGGACCGAACCGACUAAUGUUGAAAAAUUAGCGGAUGACUUGUGGCUGGGGGUGAAAGGCCAAUCAAACCGGGAGAUAGCUGGUUCUCCCCGAAAGCUAUUUAGGUAGCGCCUCGUGAAUUCAUCUCCGGGGGUAGAGCACUGUUUCGGCAAGGGGGUCAUCCCGACUUACCAACCCGAUGCAAACUGCGAAUACCGGAGAAUGUUAUCACGGGAGACACACGGCGGGUGCUAACGUCCGUCGUGAAGAGGGAAACAACCCAGACCGCCAGCUAAGGUCCCAAAGUCAUGGUUAAGUGGGAAACGAUGUGGGAAGGCCCAGACAGCCAGGAUGUUGGCUUAGAAGCAGCCAUCAUUUAAAGAAAGCGUAAUAGCUCACUGGUCGAGUCGGCCUGCGCGGAAGAUGUAACGGGGCUAAACCAUGCACCGAAGCUGCGGCAGCGACGCUGAUGCGUUGUUGGGUAGGGGAGCGUUCUGUAAGCCUGUGAAGGUGUGCUGUGAGGCAUGCUGGAGGUAUCAGAAGUGCGAAUGCUGACAUAAGUAACGAUAAAGCGGGUGAAAAGCCCGCUCGCCGGAAGACCAAGGGUUCCUGUCCAACGUUAAUCGGGGCAGGGUGAGUCGACCCCUAAGGCGAGGCCGAAAGGCGUAGUCGAUGGGAAACAGGUUAAUAUUCCUGUACUUGGUGUUACUGCGAAGGGGGGACGGAGAAGGCUAUGUUGGCCGGGCGACGGUUGUCCCGGUUUAAGCGUGUAGGCUGGUUUUCCAGGCAAAUCCGGAAAAUCAAGGCUGAGGCGUGAUGACGAGGCACUACGGUGCUGAAGCAACAAAUGCCCUGCUUCCAGGAAAAGCCUCUAAGCAUCAGGUAACAUCAAAUCGUACCCCAAACCGACACAGGUGGUCAGGUAGAGAAUACCAAGGCGCUUGAGAGAACUCGGGUGAAGGAACUAGGCAAAAUGGUGCCGUAACUUCGGGAGAAGG